GCGGUUCAAGGCUCCACAUCGGACAUUGACUACGAGACUACAGCUUAAAAAUUGAACCUGGUGGUAGCUAUGAAAUCACAAAUUUUCGGACCACUAGAAUGAAGGGCCAGUACAAUGUGGUGCCGCAUGAGACUCAGCUUAUAUUCAAUGGUAAAACAAAUUUCAAAAAGCUCUCAAAAUGUGUUUCCACCUAUUCCUCGACACCGGUUUUUCCUACAGGAUUACAACACUCUUUAUCCCCACUUGAACAAAGUUGACAUUCUUACAGAUGUCAUUGGUCAUCUCACUGCAAUACAACAUUUAGAGCCAAAACAGAUUAAUCAAAGGGUAGCAUACAAGUGUGAUAUACACAUUCAAAAUGUCAGAAGGCAACAACUCACUGUUACACUAUGGGGAGACGUCGCUGAAGAAUUUUGUUCUUCAUCUGUCCAAGCACUGCCUCUCCCAAUUGUUGUCAUUUUUACAAGCUUAAAAGUGAAGCUUUAUCUAGCUUUUUAAAACUUCGUCCAUUUAAAUUAAAGUCAUGGUGCAAUAAAAUUGUGAUGAACAGUACUGAUUGCUCACUUCUCCUUUUUGAUCCAAACAUCCCAGAAGUUAAUGCAUACAAGUCGGUGUUUGCAAAUUGUAACGAGCCUGUGAAAAUAUUGGCCCCCUUCUCCAGACAAGUAAAUGAGGCUGAAAUUUUACGUACAACCAAGAUGUUCACAAUUGAUGAAGUCGCUUUUCUAGAUCUUGAUUUACACAAGAAUGAUACGUUUUUCUGUAAAGUGUGUGUCAAGUGUUUUGACACACGUUAUCAAUGGUGGUAUAGUGCGUAUGCCAACUGUGUAAAACAAAUGCAUAAAGACUUGACAACUGGACAGCUGAUCUGCCAAAAGCAUCCAAACCAAAUUCCAACUCCUUGGUAAUGUUUAACAUGCAUUCCUCAAACUUUGUCUUAAAUAUUUGUUAUCCUUAUCUUUUAUUCUUUCUUUAUAUAAUCUAACAUUUACCAAAUCUGUUUUUUCACAUUUUUUCUCAUAUUUGUAUGCACAUGGUUUGAAUACAUUUAUCAAGAAUGAAAUCAGGUAUAAAGUCAAUUUGGUUCUUGAGCAUCACACCAAUGAAAUCAAUGCUCUCAUAAUUGGAAAAUCUGGUGAAAAGCUUUUUGGUGUGCCAUGUAAAGAUUUAGUACUGAAUCAAAGAUUAGUUGACCAACAACAGUUACCAAACAAGUUAUUUAAAUAUAGUUUGUUUUAUUUUCUGCAACUAGGUUGUUUUGACAGUGGAGAACCAAAACUUCAUCUGGUGCCCUAAAAAAUAUACAGUAUGGUUCAUCAGCAUAUGUAAAAAACUCUUCCGGAUGUUUUAUGGCAUGCAAAUAACUCUUUUUACUCGAAACUUAUCAAUAUUUUUGCAUGUUCAUACACCAGCACUUAUUAAUAUUUUGUAUAUCAUUGCUGGUUCUGGUUAAAAACAACUACAACUACCAGACUGUUAGAUGAAUGUAAUAUUUUUUGCAUGUACAUAGACCAGCAUUUUGUAAUUUUUUGUAUCCAAGUGCUGGUUUCAGUAGAAUGAUAGCUAUAACUACUAAACUAUGACAAAUGGAUGUAAUAUUUACCAAUGAAGUUGUGCAUAUUUAACUGUUUAUCUC